CAUUCCAUCCGCGCCUCUUCAAUUUUUGGCACGAGCGUGCGCUCGUCCGACGUCGGUUUUCCUGUGUUGGUUGCCUAUCGUGAAGGUAUUAUGUUGGCUAAAAUUGUCCCUUUCUCGCCUCGCGUUGCUGCCCCCAGCGGGCGGGUGGCGCGGGGUGGGCUAAAAAGCGCCCGUUGUGUCUCGCGCCUCGUUUGUCCCGUGAAACGGCUUUCGAGUUGAUGAACCACGACGGGUCGCUCGGUCUCUCGGAUGCGGAACAUCAAGUGGGUUUGGGGCCCUCGGCCUCAGAGCACCACAAAACAAGCGUUCUACGCUUCGUGCGGACGGCGGUCUACCCGGUCGCCUGCCUUGCCCGUGCGGCUCGGUUCGGCGUCGGGGCGACUCUCGGUGAGGAAUGCUACCU
rnacentral:misc_RNA from 1 species